UUACACAACAUUUAGAUAAAUUAAAAAAUCCCCCAUCAUUUAGGGUUUUUUUUUUUUUAAGAACAUUUUUUUCUGUGUGGUUGGAUACGUGAUUACAUCUUUGUGGGAAAGUUUUACAAAUUAUAUAUUUACAAUUUCCUGUGUUCCUUACUUUUCUUUUUGUUUUUAAAAUGAUGUUGUAAUUUUUAUAAUUUUCUGCUCAUCACCUCAGGUUUAACAGAUGAUUGUCUUCAUUUCUGUGCUGUGUUUCAUAUUGAUGUAGAAUUGAUCCCCGGUGAUCCUCCUGACUUCCAUAAGAACAGCUGUCCGUCUGUGCUGCUCCAUCCUGAAACCAGUCUGGGAUCUGUGGUGAUUUGAUCACUUUCUGCUUCCAGGACCGUUUGAUGGACGGGGUGUCACCCUGCUGGAGGUGUGUGGGAGCUGGCCCGAGAGCUUCAGUGUUCCCCGACACAUUAUCGGGUCAGCAGACGCCAGUGACGAAGGCCUGCGCGAGAGACUGGCGGACGCCAUGUCUGAGUCUCCUUCUCGGGACAUCGUUGGCUCUGCUACAGAGCUGCAGAGGGAGGGAAGCAUCGAGACUCUGAGCAACAGCUCCGGCUCCACCAGCGGCAGCAUCCCGCGCAACUUUGAAGGCUACCGCUCCCCGCUGCCCACCAAUGAGAGCCAGCCUCUGAGCCUCUUCCCCACCAACUUCCCCUAGAGCUCCACUUCCCCCACCGUCCAACCUGCCUGACCCCCCGCCCCCCAUCCACCAAACACACCCACUGGUUUACCUGUACAGUCUUGGGUGUGUGUUUCUGCUCAGCUGUAUCUGCUCAAGCGAUCAGUGAACGUCCAGCAGCUUGAAGUUUUCUUCCUCUCAAGUCUGAAUAUAAAGAUUUUUAAGAUAUUGAAAGAUUCCCACGUCUUUGAUAUUUGUCCAGUUUUUUAUUUCACAAUCAUUCCCAAAAUCACAGAUAAUUGUUUCCCCGUAACCCUUUAACACCGAGCUCCAGUGUUUCUUCUUUGAUUUUCUUUGACUUUUCAACCAUUAACACGAUCAUUCCAGUAGAUUCUGAAGGGGAAAAGCGGCCGGCAGAAUCUGCUGGAAUUACGUUGAUUGUGUUAGCGGUUGAAAAAUUACAGGAUGUUAGAUUUUGUGUUUAAGCGUCCCCAGUGAUGUUAAAGGGUUAAAUGUCCCUGCAGUCAGCAGCGGGGCUCAGAUACCCUGCAGGUUAAAGACAGAACUAUCUGCAUUCACAGAGGAAGAUAGAAAAGCAAAACUCUAGCAAAAGUCCAACUGAAACUCCUGAUGAGGCAGACAAAUGAUAACAGUCUGUUUUUUACAGAAACAUGUCGGUCUAAAUGUGAAAGCAAGCAGAGGUGAAGAGCUACAGCUGAGUUCAGCCCUGGCUGCCUCUCACAUGCACACAGCGCUCUGUGAGGAUGAUCGGAGCUUCAGGUUCCUCUGGAAACCUUCACGAUCCACCAAGAAAUGUGUUCCAGAGGGGCUGAAACAGCCGCACAGCUCAAACUCUCACUAAAACUAUCCACUCUGCUUAUGCUGAAACUGUUGUGAUUUAAUAACCUCACUUUAUUUGUGUGGGAUUAGAGGACUGUGUGCACAUAUUCUCCAUCAGGGGAGCAUCGGUAUUCCAGAGAUCAUAGAAUGAUUUUUGUACACAUUUAAAAUAAGUGCUUCCUGUCUGGGACACCCCUGCCCCCGGCCUCCCCCUCGCCCGCUCAUGACCUCGCUGUGAAGACCGAUCCUCCGUCCUCCACACUCAUCAGCAUCCUCACGUUUGUGUCCAGAGACAGUUGUGGAGCAGCAGCGUCUGCCUGCAUGUGACGCUGCUCUCAUGGUUCUCACUUAAUGUUUUUGAUUGAAUUUGCUUCUUUCAUGUCUUUGAUUUUGAUGUAAUUACAUUUGACAAAAGAAGCAGUAAUUAUGUGACACUGGAGGGAUAAUUUAGAUGUUUACAGAGUAAUUGAGAUGUGUCUUUUCCAAAUCAUUCGCUCAGUCUUUCUGCAGAGUUUCAGAGGCCUCUCUCUGGAUUUUGUACAUAAACAAAUUUUAUUUCAGCCUCUUGUGAAAUAUUUGGUAGUAGCACAAAUAUUGACUGAUGAUCUGAAAGGCUGCAGAAUGCGUAAAACAGAAGGGGAGAUUACAGACUGACUGUGUCUGAGGUGGAUGUCCAGAACCACAAUCUUCUAACUCACACAAAAAGCUUGUUGUUGAUGUUACUGUUUCCAGCUAUCAUGCAAUACAAACAAAUGAAACGUUAAAAGGA